rnacentral:lncRNA from 1 species
GCAUUUUUGUAGCAGAACUCCAUGUUCUAAUAGCCCCGGCAAAGUUGUUUUUAAUACUUUUUCUCUACGAAUUUUCAUUAAAAUUUAAUUCCAUUUUAACUUUGUCAAUUUUCCCCAAAGAUAAAUUAAGACACACAGAGAGAUUGUCAUUUCCUGUUUGAAGUCUCAUUCCUGUGUACAAUGUCAGUCUUUUUUAUUUAGGCCUAUGCCAUUCCAUCAGGGUAAAUAACUUUCUAACUAGUCAUUUAAGAGCAACUCCCGGGAAACUGUGAUGCAAUCCCACAUAUCAGCCAGACUUCAAAAGCUGCCAGAUUAUUGUGAAAGGAGAAACACUGUUUUCGAAGGCUGCUGAUAAUGCCUAUUAGCCAGAAGAAAGAGCCUGAAUCAUUCAAAGGUUUUCCAUCUAGUAAAGAAGUGUGGUAAAAAUCUUGCCCAGAUCUGCAUGUGCUAAGCAUCUACGUAAGUUGGAGCAUCAUAUUAAUGACACCCAGUGAAGAAACGAAAGUUGUGUAUUUCAGUUUUGUAUUGAAAUGUUCUCUGGAUUCAUAAAAUAUUUAGGGACUACAUAAAGAAUAAAGACUUUGGAAUCGAAGGCAAGAUUCACCCAACACAACUUCUGUUAGAUGAAACUAGGAAAUCAGGAUCUAUCAAAGGCCCAGUGUUAAUCGAAUGAAGUGUAAUUACUAUAUCAAAAAUCCACAGAAUGUGAAAGUAUAAAGGAAAACUCUCAGGUGAGACUCGAUUAUUUUUAUUUCAAAGAUCUAGGUAAAAAUGUGAACAGAUUGGGAGGCUGAGGCAGGAGAAUCACUUGAACCCAGGAGGCAGAAGUUGCAGUGAGCCAAGAUUGCACCAUUGGACUCCAGCCUGGGCAACAGACAAGACUCUAUCUCAAAAAAAAAAUGUGAACAGAUAUAUUGACAUAAAAUUCAUAAAACAUAUGGAUAUACUAAAAACUAGGAAGUCUGGUUGCUUCUGAGGAUAAGAGUUGAGGACCUGUUUCAAGAAUACUUUGCACAGCUUGUACUAUUGCAGUAUUUGAAUUUUUUCUUGUACAUGUAUAACUUUUUUAAAAAGAAUGAGAAAUGCUGUACAAGUGCAACUAUUUUUACUGUAAGUUUUUAUUUCCAUAAAACUAUAAUUAAGUG